rnacentral:tRNA from 1 species
GCCUGGGUGGCUCAGUGGGUUAAGCAUCUGACUUUGGCUCAGGUAAUGAUCUCACAGUCUGUGGGUUCGAGCCCCAUGUCAGGCU